rnacentral:rRNA from 1 species
CAGCACCUCAAGUGGUCAGGAUGAUUAUUGGGCCUAAAGCAUCCGUAGCCUGCUUUGUUAGUUUUCGGUUAAAUCCAUACGCUCAACGUAUGGGCUGCCGGGAAUACUGCAAAGCUAGGGAGUGGGAGAGGUAGACGGUACUCGGUAGGAAGGGGUAAGAUCCUUUGAUCUAUUGAUGACCACCUGUGGCGAAGGCGGUCUACCAGAACACGUCCGACGGUGAGGGAUGAAAGCUGGGGGAGCAAACCGGAUUAGAUACCCGAGUAGUCC